AGUCCCACACGAUGCCCUCAGCGUCUCCAGCGCAUUUCACAGACCUGAAGACGGAGGGAUGGCGCCAGGCCCACUGACACCCAGCCCUGCUUCCUCCGCCCCCCUCAGUGUGUUGAACCCAACCCUGCCUGGCACCGUCGUCAAGUCUAUGCAGUCCCUGCUCCGGGCUGGACAGCACUGGGGCCCUCCUGCUGCAGGGCUAAAGCGGGUGACAUCUCCCCACAAGUCUUCCUCUGGUUGCAGGGCUGGAAGGGGUCAGCUCUCUCUUCUUAUCAAAUGUCCACCCGCUAGCUGGGGGGAAAGGCCGCCGAGUGAGAACGACCUGCUCUGAAGUAGCCGGGAGAGUCAGAACGUGUGAACAUCGCAUCCAUAUCCCUCAGUAUCUGAGCGGGGAAACGGAGACCCAGAAGAGGAUAGAGCCUCAGCCAGGGAUGUGCGUGCCGUCACGGAACUCCUGCGGAGAGCCGAUUGGGUGCCAGGCAGCGGUCCAGAGGACUCCAAGACUCUAGAAGAUGGUGGUGGAGCUACAAGAUAGGAGGAGCCUGGGUCCCCUGGGUAUGCGAGGCCUCCUGCUGACGAGGACUACCUGCUCUGUAUUUUGUGAGCCAGAAGUAAACCUGUUUUGUUAGGCUGCUGAGAUAUAUGGGGCUUAUUUGUUACAGCAGCUAAUACUGCCCUAAUUCAAGAGUUAUGUAGCAAGUAAACAAAAGAGCUAAGAUUUGAACCUCAGUGUUUUCGACUGCCUGGAAUGUGGCCAGACAAGGUAACCUGGAUGGUGUUAACACUGGCAACCAAGAAUCCAGUUAUAGGAGUAGGUGGAGGGUGAUCAGCCUGCGAAGGGAAGGGAGACUGCUCUUAUCCUGUCUUGUGGGAGAAUAAUAAUACUGGCAAAUGUUUACUGUUUACCAUAUGCCAGAUGGUACGCUAACAGUGGAUUAAAUCAUUUAAUCGCAAGAUGUCUCAGAGGCGGGUGCUACUAUUAUUAUCCCCACUUUACAGAAGGGGAUACUGAGGCACAGAUGGGCUGAGUAACUUGCCCAAGAGCUAAUAACUAGCAGAGUGGGAUUUGAACUCAGGCUAUCAGGCUUUAGAUCCCAUGCUCUUAUAUGCUGUGUCCUGCGAGGCUCCUACAGGCAGACCAAGGCAGACAGCAACUCAAAAAUGAGACAGUUCUCACAGUCUCACAGUCUCACACAGGGAGGAAGUGCGUUCUCUGCCGCUGGGAGCAGAGAAGCAGAUACUGGAAGCCCAUCUGUUGGGGGAAAUCAAUGCGGGGUGAGGCUGGACCGAGUCAGCCAGGCCUUUCUUACUCUCACUCUGGGAGUCCAAGAUUCUCUGUCCCCAUGCCCGGGUCCCCUCUCUCAGGUCGCUGGAACCAUGCUAUGCCCUUAGCACAGGCAAACCCCAAGGGUAUCCUCAACAAAGCCCUGGCCUGGAAGGAUGCCAUUAAAUAGUGAUCGUGCCUGGGUGGGUCCCCUCUCUGGGUCUACUCUAUUAUUAAAAAUCCCUGUGAAAAAGCAGCCACGAGGUGGAAUUUCAGGUACCGAGUGGGGACACGGAGCCCCUCUGGCUUCUCUCACCUGCUUCACUUUGCUUCUGUCAAGGGAGGGGCUGGAGCUUCAUUCCCUCAGCCUGCGUGGCUGAGCCAGCUCCCCACACCCUGCAUUCUCCGCAUGCCCGCCUCCCCGUUUCUCCCCUCUAGCCCUCCCCACCUGUGGGGUCAAAUAAAUUGUCUCAAGACCAGAUUUGACCUGAUCCUUGCCUUGUUCUGCAUUUUCAGUGGUUCCCUGUAUCGGCCUGUGGUGUUUUCUCCUGCCCAGCAUCACUUUCCCUUUCCCCAGGGAACGGUCCCUCUCUCAGUCCAGUGGUUCAGUAGGGCUGUCCCCACUCUGGCUUUAAGCGCAGGUCUGACCCAGGGCAGGCCAACCAGGGGAUCCAUCCCAUCCGCCAGGUCACCGUUGACUGGUUCAGAGAUGAACACGUGACCAAAGGUGACCCACUGAGAUCUUGCCUUAGGACUUCUGCUGAACUUAUCAGGAAAGAGACACCUUCUGACCCCUGGGCUGCAAAGCUGGAGGACACGGGCCUGGAGCUGCUGGGGGCUGGCUGAGCCACAAUCGGGAGCACCUGACCGAGAAUGAAGCAACAAAGAGACAGGAAGAGCAGAAAGAUGGAAAGACUUAUGAUCCCAAGCACCUGGCUCCAGACAUGCCGAAAGCCAAUUAUAU